rnacentral:tRNA from 1 species
UCCGAUACGGUGUAGUGGCCAACAUGAUGCCCUCUCAUUGUAGAUGACAGGUUAGGCAUAGCCCCGAGUUCGAUCCUCGGUUUCGGAA